GUCACAAUUAACUUAAAUCUCUAUUAGGGAUUGAAAC
rnacentral:other from 1 species